rnacentral:rRNA from 1 species
UACGUAGGGUGCAAGCGUUAUCCGGAAUUAUUGGGCGUAAAGAGCUCGUAGGCGGUUUGUCGCGUCUGCUGUGAAAACUGGAGGCUCAACCUCCAGCCUGCAGUGGGUACGGGCAAACUAGAGUGCGGUAGGGGAGAUUGGAAUUCCUGGUGUAGCGGUGGAAUGCGCAGAUAUCAGGAGGAACACCGAUGGCGAAGGCAGACUCGCUGGGCCGUAACUGACGCUGAGAGCGAAGACGUGGGGAGCGAAACAGG